UACGGGGGGGGCAAGCGUUGUUCGGAAUUACUGGGCGUAAAGGGCUCGUAGGUGGCCAACUAAGUCCGACGUGAAAUCCCCAGGCUUAACCUGGGAACUGCGUCGGAUACUGGAUGGCUUGAAUCCGGGAGAGGGAUGCGGAAUUCCAGGUGUAGCGGUGAAAUGCGUAGAUAUCUGGAGGAACACCGGUGGCGAAGGCGGCAUCCUGGACCGGCAUUGACGCUGAGGAGCGAAAGCCAGGGGAGCAAACGGG
rnacentral:rRNA from 1 species